CCCUAUCUCCAGAACAUCCCCAUACCUUCCCCACACCUAUCUUGAGUGGAGCCAGAAAAUGCUUUAGAGUGUUUAUGCCUGUGGAUCUGUAAUAUUUUACUUUUUCUUCCAGAGGAGUGACUGAAGGAGGCUGGACUAAAAGAAAGAAGGUCUUUUACUACAGUUAUCUAAUGCAUAAACCAUGAACCUUGAUGUUUGCUCUACAACUGUUGCCUUUGAGUGUUAAUCCAUAACCCUCAAUGAAGCUCAUCAUCUUAAGGACAGAGUUCACAACAAAAUUGAAAAAGCAGUCACCAGAAAUUCUUCAAACGGUAUACACUAAGCAGAAUUAAAAAUUAAAGAGUUUGGUUAAAAGUUUGCUUUAGGAAUUUUGACUAAAGUUUAACUAAAGCAAUUGUUCUUUAUACCUCACGUUUAAAAAAACUAAGCAGACUAAACAGCAAGGAGCAUCUUUCCUGGAUCAUCCCAGCCACAACAUUUCAAACCUACUAAAAAACUCAGGCUUGCACAAUGGAGCCCUUGAGUUGUCUCUGUAAUGGGAUUGAAACAAUCAAUUCAGGACAGUAGAGGUUG